rnacentral:rRNA from 1 species
GACGAACGCUGGCGGCGUGCUUAACACAUGCAAGUCGAACGAAGUGGCGAACGGUUGAGUAAUACGUGAGUAACCUGCCCUACUUUUUGGGAUAAGCCUUGGAAACGGGGUCUAAUACCGAAUAAAGGGGGAUGGGCUCGCGGCCUAUCAGCUUGUUGGUGGUGUGAUGGCCUCCCAAGGCGGUGACGGGUAGCCGGCCUGAGGGGGUGAACAGCCACAUUGGGACGGAGCUGCGGCCCAGACGAGUACGUGGGGCAGCAGUGGCGGAGAUUGCACAAGGGGCGAAAGCCUGACGCAGCGAGGCCGAGUGGGGGAUGAAGGCUUUAGGGUUGUAAACAUCUUUAGCUAUCGCACGGGUAGGUGGAGAAGAAGCGCCGGCUAACUACGUGCCAGCAGCCGCGGUAAUUC